rnacentral:rRNA from 1 species
AUUGAACGCUGGCGGCAGGCCAAACACAUGCAAGUCGAGCGAGCGGCGGACGGGUGAGUAAUGUCUGUGGAACUCCCUCUUGGAGGGGGAUAAAUACGGGAAACGGUAGCUAAUACCGCAUACCCUCUGAUGUGAGCCGAUGGGAUUUGCGAGUAGGUGGGGUAACGGCUCACCUAGGCGACGAUCCCUAGCUGGUCUGAGAGGAUGACCAGCCACACUGGAACUGAGACACGGUCCAGACUCCUACGGGAGGCAGCAGUGGGGAAUAUUGCACAAUGGGCGCAAGCCUGAUGCAGCCAUGCCGCGUGUGUGAAGAAGGCCUUCGGGUUGUAAAGCACUUUCAGCGGGGAGGCGUUACCCGCAGAAGAAGCACCGGCUAACUCCGUGCCAGCAGCCGCGGUAAUAC